GAUGAACGCUAGCGGCAGGCUUAAUACAUGCAAGUCGUGGGGCAGCAGGGCUGUAGCAAUACAGUUGCUGGCGACCGGCAAACGGGUGCGUAACACGUACGCAACCUUCCCGUUACUGUGGCAUAGCCCAGGGAAACUUGGAUUAAUACCACAUAUUAUAUUGGAGAGGCAUCUCUCUGAUAUCAAAGCUUCGGCGGUAACGGAUGGGCGUGCGGUUGAUUAGGUAGUUGGCGGGGUAACGGCCCACCAAGCCUACGAUCAAUAGCUGAUGUGAGAGCAUGAUCAGCCACACGGGCACUGAGACACGGGCCCGACUCCUACGGGAGGCAGCAGUAAGGAAUAUUGGGCAAUGGACGCAAGUCUGACCCAGCCAUGCCGCGUGAAGGAUUAAGGUCCUCUGGAUUGUAAACUCCUUUUCUCUGGGGCGAAAACCAGCUAUUCUUAGCUGCUUGACAGCACCAGAGGAAUAAGCACCGGCUAACUCCGUGCCAGCCGCCGCAGUAAUAC
rnacentral:rRNA from 1 species